GACGUAGGAUGCAAGCGUUGUCCGGAUUUAUUGGGCGUAAAGAGUUCGUAGGUGGUUUGCUAAGUCUGAUGCUAAAUACUGGAGCUCAACUUCGGGACUGCAUUGGAUACUGGCAGACUUGAGUGUGGUAGAGGCAAUCAGAAUUCCAGGUGUAGCGGUGAAAUGCGUAGAUAUCUGGAAGAACACCGGUGGCGCAAGCGGAUUGCUGGGCCAUAACUGACACUGAGGAACGAAAGCUAGGGUAGCGAAUGGG
rnacentral:rRNA from 1 species